UGAGGAAUAUUGGGCAAUGGGCGCAAGCCUGACCCAGCAACGCCGCGUGAAGGAAGAAGGCUUUCGGGUUGUAAACUUCUUUUAUCAGGGACGAAUUAAGUGACGGUACCUGAUGAAUAAGCCACGGCUAACUACGUGCCAGCAGCCGCGGUAAUACGUAGGUGGCAAGCGUUAUCCGGAUUUACUGGGUGUAAAGGGCGUGUAGGCGGGCUUGCAAGUCAGAUGUGAAAUUCCACGGCUCAACCGUGGAACUGCAUUUGAAACUGUAGGUCUUGAGUGCUGGAGAGGCAAUCGGAAUUCCGUGUGUAGCGGUGAAAUGCGUAGAUAUACGGAGGAACACCAGUGGCGAAGGCGGAUUGCUGGACAGUAACUGACGCUGAGGCGCGAAAGCGUGGGGAGCAAACAGGAUUAGAUACCC
rnacentral:rRNA from 1 species